UACGUAGGGUGCAAGCGUUAUCCGGAAUUAUUGGGCGUAAAGAGCUCGUAGGCGGUUUGUCGCGUCUGCUGUGAAAACUGGAGGCUCAACCUCCAGCUUGCAGUGGGUACGGGCAAACUAGAGUGCGGUAGGGGAGAUUGGAAUUCCUGGUGUAGCGGUGGAAUGCGCAGAUAUCAGGAGGAACACCAGCGGCGAAGGCGGCGCUCUGGGCCGGUACUGACGCUGAGGAGCGAAAGCGUGGGUAGCAAACAGG
rnacentral:rRNA from 1 species